AUUGAACGCUGGCGGCAGGCCUAACACAUGCAAGUCGAGCGGAUGAAGGGAGCUUGCUCCUGGAUUCAGCGGCGGACGGGUGAGUAAUGCCUAGGAAUCUGCCUGGUAGUGGGGGAUAACGUCCAGAAACGGGCGCUAAUACCGCAUACGUCCUGAGGGAGAAAAUGGGGGAUCUUCGGACCUCACGCUAUCAGAUGAGCCUAGGUCGGAUUAGCUAGUUGGUGGGGUAAAGGCCUACCAAGGCGACGAUCCGUAACUGGUCUGAGAGGAUGAUCAGUCACACUGGAACUGAGACACGGUCCAGACUCCUACGGGAGGCAGCAGUGGGGAAUAUUGGACAAUGGGCGAAAGCCUGAUCCAGCCAUGCCGCGUGUGUGAAGAAGGUCUUCGGAUUGUAAAGCACUUUAAGUUGGGAGGAAGGGCAGUAAGUUAAUACCUUGCUGUUUUGACGUUACCAACAGAAUAAGCACCGGCUAACUUCGUG
rnacentral:rRNA from 1 species